AUUGAACGCUGGCGGCAGGCUUAACACAUGCAAGUCGAGCGAGCGGCGGACGGGUGAGUAAUGUCUGGGAAACUGCCUGAUGGAGGGGGAUAACUACUGGAAACGGUAGCUAAUACCGCAUACCAUCAGAUGUGCCCAUAUGGGAUUAGCUAGUAGGUGGGGUAAUGGCUCACCUAGGCGACGAUGCCUAGGUGGUCUGAAAGGAUGACCAGCCACAUGUGAACUGAGACACGUUCCAGACUCUUACGGGAGGCAGCAUUGGGGCAAAUUGCACAAUGGGCGCAAGCCUGAUGCACCCAUGCCGCGUGUGUUGAGAAGGCCUUCGAGUUGUAAAGCACUUUCAGCGAGGAGGCGUUACGCGCAGAAGAAGCACCGGCUAACUCCGUGCCAGCCGCCGCGGUAAUAC
rnacentral:rRNA from 1 species